rnacentral:misc_RNA from 1 species
UGUGUUUUGUUAAAGUAAGGUACUUGUGACGUAAUAUAUACCGCUCCUGAGAGCCCUGUAGGUAGUCUAAUGAGGCAUAAUUAUAAAUACGUUUUACCGAGCUUUGUUUGCCAUUUCUCUGUUGUUUACGAUGUUUCAUUGGAAUGGAGUAUUUGUUAUAUAUUUUAGUUGCCACUGAUUGGUUUCUUUGGCACGUGUCCAUGUCUUGUACAUGAAGAAAAGUGAAAUAAACCAGUCUUGGGU